rnacentral:rRNA from 1 species
UACGGAGGUGGCAAGCGUUGUCCGGAUUUAUUGGGCGUAAAGAGCGUGUAGGCGGCCAGGUAGGUCUGGUGUGAAAACUCGAGGCUUAACCUCGAGAUGUCAUCGGAAACCAUCUGGCUAGAGUCCGGAAGGGGAGAGUGGAAUUCCUGGUGUAGCGGUGAAAUGCGCAGAUAUCAGGAGGAACACCGGUGGCGAAGGCGGAUCUCUGGGCCUUACCUGACGCUGAGGAGCGAAAGCAUGGGGAGCAAACAGG